AUACGUAGGAUGCAAGCGUUAAUCGGAAUUACUGGGCGUAAAGCGUGAGCAGGCGGUUUUGUAAACAAGAGGUGGAAUCCCCGGGGUCAACAUGGGCAUCGCCAUCGUCAUCGACAGGGCGGAGGGCCGUCGAGGGGGGCGGAAUUCCGCGUCUAGGGGGGCAAUGCGUAGAUAUGCGGAGGAACACCGAUGGCGAAGGCAAUCCCCUGGGCCUGGACUGACGCUCAUGCACGAAAGCGUGGGGAGCAAACAGGAUUAGAUACCCUGGUAGUCCACGCCCUAAACGAUGUCAACUGGUUGUUGGGGAUUUAUUUUCUCAGUAACGAAGCUAACGCGUGAAGUUGACCGCCUGGGGAGUACGGCCGCAAGGUUAAAACUCAAAUGAAUUGACGGGG
rnacentral:rRNA from 1 species